ACUAACCCUCCUGUGUUGCUUACUGAGUCUUAUCAUUAUGUCUUAUACAGUGAUUUAUGGUGGCAAACUAAACACCAGACACCAAUUUAAGUCCAUAAACACAUCAAAAGUGAUUUUGUGAUAUUUAAGAGCGGUUUUAUUUAGAGGCGGCGCUUGUUGGCAACAGAGUAACGUCGCAACGACACUUUUUUUUCAAUCCCAGUAAAAGAGUUUGAGCAGGAACAGAGUUGUGUAUAUGUAGCAGGGGGGUCCGGCUGCAUCUGGGGGGUGACUGCUGAUUUUCAGCACGUUUAUUUUAUUUUUUUCUAUUUUAUUUUCUCCUUGUUUUCCCUACUUCGAGCAAUCCAUUGCACGCGCCGAUAUAUUUGGACGUACAUAUUUUAGUAUAGACCAUGAACAAACUCUAUGUGGGGAAUCUGAGUCCUUCGGUGACCGUGGAGGACCUGAAGCAGCUCUUCGGUGAGAGGAAGCUUCCCGUGACCGACCAGGUCCUGCUCAAAUCCGGCUAUGCCUUCGUGGACUUCCCCGACCAGAACUGGGCGAUUAAAGCCAUCGAGACUCUAUCUGGUAAAGUUGACUUACAU